rnacentral:rRNA from 1 species
CUACGGGAGGCUCCAGUAAAGAAUCUUCCGCAAUGGGCGAAAGCCUGACGGAGCGACACCGCGUGAGGGACGACGUCCUAACGGAUGUAAACCUCUUUUGUGUAGGAGCAAAUUUUUGAGUUAACUACACGAAUAAGGACCGGCUAAUCACGUGCCAGCAGCCGCGGUAAUACGUGAGGUCCGAGCGUUAUCCGGAAUCACUGGGCGUAAAGCGUCCGCAGCCGGAAAAGUCAGUCUGGAGUAAAAUUUCGGGGCUCAACCCCGAAAGUGUUCCGGAAACUGCUUUUCUAGAGUUUGACAGGGGCAAGGGGAAUUCCGAUUGUAGGGGUAAAAUCCGUAGAUAAUCGGAGGAACACCAAACGCGAAGGCACCUUGCUGGGUCAAGACUGACGGUCAGGGACGAAAGCGUGGGGAGCGAAGGGGAUUAGAUACCCUUGUAGUC